CAGCCGCCACGGUAAUACGUAGGUCCCGAGCGUUGUCCGGAUUUAUUGGGCGUAAAGCGAGCGCAGGCGGUUAGAUAAGUCUGAAGUUAAAGGCUGUGGCUUAACCAUAGUACGCUUUGGAAACUGUUUAACUUGAGUGCAGAAGGGGAGAGCGGAAUUCCAUGUGUAGCGGUGAAAUGCGUAGAUAUGUGGAGGAACACCGGUGGCGAAAGCGGCUCUCUGGUCUGUAACUGACGCUGAGGCUCGAAAGCGUGGGGAGCAAACAGGAUUAGAUACCCCAGUAGUCCCUGUCUCUUAUACA
rnacentral:rRNA from 1 species